AGGGUGAAGAAAUUUGUCCCAUCAUGCAAGAAGAAGAGAUAUAUGCAAAGUUGAAUUCUUCAGGACUCUCCAGGGGAUUCUAGAGAAGCAAAACCACACCCAGGUCAUCAAGAGGCGUCCUCUCUGGUUUCUAUCCCUAGGUCCAAAGUUCGUAGAAAAAAUGACUGCACAAGAGAAGUGACACCCUCUAGAUCACCAAGUUCUGCCAACAUGAAGAUUCCUCGGGUUGUUUCUGAGAGUCCACAUGGCCUUGUAGUCUUAGAAACAAAGCAGUCUCCAGCACAUUCCAGGAAGAUGCCGACGUGCCUGUGAAUCGACUGAAGCGUUUUGUUUUUGUACAGAUGAAACGAAUUGUAGUGCUGAUUCAAAAAGUGCUGGGAGAAAGAAAAAGACAAAGGUUCUCCUGACCAAACGAAUGGAUGAUUGCUGCCUCGAAAGCGAAGACCUGAGCAAAAAUGGGCAAGCAAAAUAAAAAUCCACCAGAAGAAGGGUCUCCAAGCAAAAGGAGAUUGGCAGUAAUGGUGAUGUCAGAGAUCUAACACCAAGAAUGGAAAAAAUGCCCAUGCAGAAACUUUUGAGAACUGAUGAUCAUCCAAGCUAUUUCCUUAAAGACUCAGACAAUUUGGAAAUUACUUGUGAAGUGAUAAGUCACAUAUCCAAAGGAAAUUUCAAGCAGGAGGAUGGCAGUAUAAUUGUCCGGCGGCUUAUCUACCAAAGGAUUGAUGAGACUUUAAGAACUAAAAAUGACCCAAAGAAUGAUACAUCUUCCAAAAAACCCUCUGUGGAUGUAGUUAUGUCAACAGAUAAUUCUCUUGCAAAGCAUCAACUGAUGGAAAAUGACACUAAAACACAGUCUCAGUGUGAUAAAGAAUCAAUCACUGUGGCAAAUGCUGCAGCUGCUGAGGUAGCAAAAGCAGUCGGUGAGAUAUCACUGGUGCCUCUCCUCAAAUCCAAAUACUCAGACUUUGUUUCCACAGUGUCUUCACCAUGCACACUAACAAUGACAGUCAUGAAGGCACCAUCGGGUCAGAUUAUGCCAUCUGAAUCCGACCUGAAAGCUUCAAAGACAAAACUGUCAGAUGAACUAAGGACACAACAAAAAGCUUCUGGUAUUUCAGCUCCAUCUGCCGCAAGUGUUCCCCCAAAAAGUGGCUCAGAGCCAAAACCAAAGUAAAAAGAAGUCUCUUGACAAGAAAGCCCAGUCAUUGGAUUCAGGAAAGGUUUCUCAGUCACAGUGAUGUCCAUCUCCACCAUUUCAUCUCCAACCAUCAAUGAAUCUUCAGCAGAUCACCCGGGUACUGACCAUACAAGACUUGAUUGUCAAAGACCCAUCGCUCGAUGAGAAGAGAGAGAAGAUCAAACGACCAAUGAAUGCUUUCAUGAUAUGGUCUCGCCAGCAACGUGCAAUCCUCGCUCGUCAUACGCCUAGGAUGACGAAUGCUGAGAUAAGUGUCAAGCUGGGUAUCAUGUGGAAUGAUCUUGACUACAACAUCAAACAGGAGUACUUUGAUGAAGCAAUCCAGCUGAAACUGCAACCCCGAAAAUAUUAUCCAGAUUGGGUAUACCAGCCGUGACCUCACAAACGUCCAAGUCGUCGAAAACAUCUUGCUGUCCCCAUGUUUGGAGGUGAAAACCAGUCGAUACCAGGUGGUGCUGAUUAUGGCUGAUGGACAGGAGGUACUAUGCCCAGCUAUACCUGUUCAGACUAGCCAAAGGCAUGGAUCCAUGCAUCCUACAGACUGAGCCGUUCCCAAGACUUCCUUGAACUCACGAGCCAUGGAACGCUCCCUCGUGAUGGCGUCGAUGGGGAUGUUCCCGCUGUGUGAGAUGUUCUUGACCUUCUUUGGCCUGACGGUUCUGAAUGGUCAACAUGACGGUGAUCUUCAGACCCUUCCAUUCCACCCACCCACAGCCCUCAGACACACAGUUUUGAUUUCAUUAGGAUCGAAUUUGGCAGUCAUGAUUCUGCAAAGAAUGUGGAUCUUCAGUUGAAAAAUAGGUGAAAGUGUCGGAUGAAUCCGAUUUUGGAAACGACCGAGGAGUUGCACAAUCACUUCCUGACGAGUCGAAAAGAGAAAGCAUUGCUGACUUAUCUAUUAUUAUAGGGGAAAAAUAUGCACCCAAUGUAGGAAAAUAUGUAAUAAUUGUGAUUUCGUGCACAAUGCAUAUAUUUAACAUAAGUUGUGGAACCUGACAUCAUCAGCCCAAAUAUUCCAUAUUCAUUACUGCGUGUAAUUAACUGUUUUCCUAUUAAGUUGUCCGAUUUUGAUGAAACUUUCAUCGUUUUUGCUCAAUGUAUCAGCGUAUACAGAGCUGUUUUGCUCAAUGUAUCAGCGUAUACAGAGCUGUUGUCCUCACCACCCUACUGUACGGUUCUGAGUCGUGGGUAACUUACCGCCACCACAUGCGACUCCUGGAGCGUUUCCAUCAGCGCUGUCUCCGGAUCAUCCUCAACAUUCACUGGACCGACUAUGUCACAAAUGUUGAGGUCCUUGAACAGGCGGAGAUCCCCAGUAUCGAGGCCAUGCUGCUGAAGACUCAGCUCCGUUGGGCAGGACACAUCUCAAGAAUGGAAGACCAUCGCCUGCCCAAGAUAGCCCUGUACGGCGAACUUUCUACUGGCAAUCGUGACAGAGGGGCUCCAAAGAAACGCUUCAAGGACAUCCUGAAGAAGUCCCUCGGUACAUGCCAUAUCGAUCAUUGCCAGUGGUCUACUCUGGCUGCUGACCGUGCUAGCUGGCGACAUAUAGUCCAUCAGGCUGCCUCUUCUUUCGAGGAAUCCCGAAAAGAUCACCUGAGGGAGAAACGUCGCCGCAGAAAGAAUCGCGAAGCCUCAGCAGCCACACCAAACGUGACUUUUGACUGCGGCCGCUGUGGCCGGGCCUGUCUAUCACGUAUUGGCCUUGUGAGUCACAUGCGUGCCUGCAGUCGACGUGGACUGCCUUUAUAAAUCUUCGUUCGCGAAGCAAGCCAAGAACAUACUCUAUUACCCCAUAUAAAGCUAUUUUAGCACGAAAAUAUAAUUGGUUUGGUAUGAACUUUUAAAACUCCAAAGAGUACUACAGGCUGUAAAUAAUAUGAUUUUAACAGGUGCAAGUAAAAUCAUACAAACAAAACACUGAAUAUCAAAUCAUAAUCUAACAAAGAAAUAAAAAUAUAACAUUUCAUCUAAGCUUUGCAUUAAUAUAAAUGUUAUGAAUUUAGAUUCAUAACAUUAAUAUAAAUGUUAUGAAUGUUAUGAUCAUAUUCCCAACUAUGUCAUUUUCCCAUGUCAUAUUCCCAAUAUGCUUUGUUGUAUUUUAUUGUAUGAAACUGUAUUUGUAUUUAUCAAUAUUUUGUCCACCAAGAAUAAACAAAAUUAAUUGAAGUAGUCUUUCAUUGCCGCAUUUUUUUUGUUAACAGGGAGACACAUCAUGGACACAUGUAAUGAAUUUAUUUCCACAUUCCAAUAUUUCCAAUAACACUAUAAUAAUGUGAGCAUGAUAUGAAAGAUAUGACAUUAUCAUUAUUUCAUGCUGUAAACAUAAGAUUGUGCACGAGGAAUGUCAAGAGACAGCAGAGUAAAAAAACGACAAGCUUGCAAGAAUAUUCAGAGCUUUCAGCAGAAUCGCCUGAGAAACCAAAAAUCUAAUGAACACAAAGAGAAAACUUAAAGCACAGAAAAGACAACCAAAAAAGAAAUGAAAUAUGAUCAUCAACUUAACACAAUGUGUGGUGGCUAAUGCUUAGUCACUCAAUGGAGAAAUGUGUUAUGCAACUAAAAAGUAAUAUACGGAAGCUGAAUGUAGAAAUUUGCUUAAAAGGAAAUAUGAUGGAAAUUUUGCUUAUUGCUGUUUAACAUGUAAUGUUAAUGUCAAAAGAAUCACUGAAUUAUAAGCAUUCCUAGAAAGAAGCAAAUUUAUAUAAAAAACGACAUUCCUUUGUUAUUUUGCAAAAGAUUUCAGUUAUCUUCUAAUGGAUACAUUUACGAAUAUGCCCAUUGAAACUUACCUGUUCUCUUUAUCGAAGGUAUUUCAGACAUAAAUGUUUGGUUCUUUAUCAGACCAAAUCAGUGGCAUUGAGGAAGAACAAUGCAUGGAGUUCAAAUAUCUUAACUUAAAAUAUUUAUGUUCACUUGCCAUCUUUUAAGUCUGAAUGUUCGAGGUCUUAGAAAUAAGGAAAAGAGAAAUCAAAUAUUUCUUUGUUUAAACAUCAAAGAGCAGACUUUUUUUUCAGGAAACAUUUUAGUCACAUGAUUUAGAAUUUAUGGUCAGAAAUGAAUGGCAAGGGCCCUUUUUUCCUCUCAAUUCAUGUGGAGUCGCUAUAUUGUUUCAACAAAACCUUGUUAUAGAGAAUAUUGUGGUUAAAAGACACAAAAGAUGGUAGGUUAUUUUAAUCAUGCAUGUGAUAAUAAAUCACGUAAAUAAAGAUUGUACAAGGAUCAGAAAAUAGUUAUUACAG